rnacentral:rRNA from 1 species
UGGGGAAUUUUGGACAAUGGGGGCAACCCUGAUCCAGCAAUGCCGCGUGAGUGAAGAAGGCCUUCGGGUUGUAAAGCUCUUUUGUCAGGGAAGAAACGGUAGUAGCGAAUAACUAUUACUAAUGACGGUACCUGAAGAAUAAGCACCGGCUAACUACGUGCCAGCAGCCGCGGUAAUACGUAGGGUGCAAGCGUUAAUCGGAAUUACUGGGCGUAAAGCGUGCGCAGGCGGUUGUGUAAGUCAGAUGUGAAAUCCCCGGGCUCAACCUGGGAAUUGCAUUUGAGACUGCACGGCUAGAGUGUGUCAGAGGGGGGUAGAAUUCCACGUGUAGCAGUGAAAUGCGUAGAUAUGUGGAGGAAUACCGAUGGCGAAGGCAGCCCCCUGGGAUAACACUGACGCUCAUGCACGAAAGCGUGGGGAGCAAACAGGAUUAGAUACCCGGGUAGUCCCUGAGCGGGCUGGCAAGGCGCAU